UUCAAUGGCUCAGAUCGCAGGGCCCAGAACAUUGAAGACAACCUCCAAAUGAGGAAGAGGGGGGCUUGAUCUGCUAAGAUUAGGAUUCCAUUUGUGCAUUCGGGGAUUUUGGGGCAAUCCGAUUUGGGGGUUUCUCGGCUACGAUUUGGUGAGUUAAAUCUUGUUUAGCAUGUCUCGAUUUGGUUUGGUGAUUAUUCAUUGGCUUUGGUUUGGUGAUUAUUCAUUGUCUUGCAUGUUUCGAUUUCUCCUUCGAAAUUGGAGAAGUUAGAGUGCUGCUAUUGUGGGUAUAUUGAUCUCUGAUUCCAAGCUCUUUGGUUAAAGGCGUUCUUCUUCAGCAAACCCUUCAGGCCAUUGUUGCUAUCAUUUUGUUCACGAAAAUCGGACAUGGUCUUCGAUUUCAGGUUUCGAUUGUAAAUUAUGGCGAGAAUUGCAUACCCAUAAAAUUUCGCAGACAGGGCUGCUAGGUGCUUUCGUUAUCAAAAAGCUUUAUUUUGCAAGGCACUGGACAAAUCAUGAGGUUGCUCUUAUGAUGCUCAUGGCAUACCUUUCAUAUAUGCUGGCUGAAGUA